rnacentral:tRNA from 1 species
GGCUUGUUAGCUCAGUCGGUAGAGCACUCCACUGGCAUCGCAGAGGUCAUGGGUUCGAAACCCGAACAGGCCU